CUUGUUUUGUACAAUUGCUAAAAAUAAUGUGCACUCUGCAGGUGAAAUAUCACGCAGAUGUCUGUUCCAUUCAUUUGAAGUUUACUUGCUUAUGUGUCUGGGUGACUGUUGGUGAGAGCAAGGCGUUGAAGUCACCUACCAGUAUUUCUAUAUGGAGGAUGAAAUGCCCUUUAUUGUCAUGUGCCAUUGGGACCAUGUAAAGGAAGAUAGAAGACCACAGAAGCCUAAAAAGUAGAUUCAAAGUAGGAAGGAUGGGUCUGUCAGGAGAAAGCUUCCUCCGGGCCUUCUGCUAAAGCCCGGUUCUUCGUGCUGUCACAUGAACACCGAUGUCCUGCAGGGACAUCAUCUCCUGGAGUUAGAGAUAGUGACUACUGCGUGUGAAUGCUGGGAACUGCAGGGGGAUCCUCUGGAAGAUUAGGAAAUGAGCUGAAGAUAUAAUAGUUGAAAGCAUAUGUAGACUUUAUUAACAUACAGUGCAUAUGGGGUAGAACCAGAAUCUUAUUUACAACUCUGUAAUUUCUACUUACUCUAAUGUAAAUGAAAUAUAUAUUUGGAAGUGUUUUAGCCAAACAGACAAACUAAUAAUUUCCCCUAUUUUAACAUGAUACAACAUGUAUAUAUUUUAUAUAUUUUCACAUUUUUGUUAAAUAUACUUAAACACUUCUAAACAAUAGUUCUGGUUGAGUUUAGAAAAGAAUCCCUUUAGCAGUACUUGUCUUUCACUUUGGUUAAAAAAAACAAGUGAUUAUGGCUCAGGUGGUGGUGUCAUUUAAAGGAACAUGGUCACAUUAUUUACUACACAGAAUUCAUGUGAAAUGUAGAUAUGCACCAAGCAGUUACACAUGCAGUAUACUAACGUUAGAAUUCACUUACCAUCUGCCCAACUCCCUGGUGCCAGAAGGCAAGAUUUCUAACUUGGGGUAUGGCUCAUUAGGGACGUGUUCACAUACUAACAUACUGCUUCAUACUCUCCUGAACCAGCAGGGACAUAGACAUUGAAGGACAAACUUUUAUGGAGUAAAACCAACAUUGACUUGUUGAGGGGUUUUCUUCUGAGUUUCCACCACCCAUCUCAUCUUGAGGCAGGAACUGAAAGUGCUGUGGGGCCGAACUCAGACCUAGGACACAUCCAGACAUCACGUAGACCUUCUUAAUGACAUCAGCCCUGAUGCCUGGGACAGAAAGGAACACACCCUAUCAGAACAGUUAGGUGAUUUCUAAAGACUGUUUACAAAUGGGCUCUGCAUACUAGUUUGGUAAGUAUACUGGAAGUCCAGUGACAUGGCCUCCUCUGAUGUAGUCCCAGACAGAGC
rnacentral:lncRNA from 1 species